rnacentral:rRNA from 1 species
UACAGAGGGUGCGAGCGUUGUUCGGAAUUAUUGGGCGUAAAGGGCGCGUAGGCGGCCAUGCGUGUCUUCCGUGAAAUCCCUCGGCUUAACUGAGGACGUGCGGAAGAAACUGCAAGGCUCGAGUCCGGGAGAGGGGGGUGGAAUUCCCAGUGUAGCGGUGAAAUGCGUAGAUAUUGGGAGGAACAUCGGUGGCGAAGGCGGUCUUCUGGACGGUGACUGAUGCUGAGAUGCGAAAGCGUGGGGAGCAAACAGG